rnacentral:rRNA from 1 species
AGAUUGAACGCUGGCGGCAUGCCUUACACAUGCAAGUCGAACGGCAGCACGGGAGCAAUCCUGGUGGCGAGUGGCGAACGGGGUGAGUAAUAUAUCGGAACGUGCCCAGCCGUGGGGGAUAACGUAGAGAAAUUUACGCUAAUACCGCAUACGAUCCAAGGAUGAAAGCGGGGGACCGUAAGGCCUCGCGCGACUGGAGCGGCUGAUAUCAGAUUAGCUUGUUGGUGAGGUAAAAGCUACACCAAGCGACGAUCUGUAGCUGGUUUGAGAGGACGACCAGCCACACGUGGACUGAGACACGGCCCAGACUCCGUACGGGAGGCAGCAGGUAGGGAAUUUUGGACGAAGUCGGGGGGAACCCUGAUCC